UACGGAGGAUUCAAGCGUUAUCCGGAUUUAUUGGGUUUAAAGGGCGUGUAGCCGGGUUGACAAGUCAGAUGUGAAAUCCUGCGGCUUAACCGCAGAACUGCAUUUGAAACUGUUGAUCUUGAGUACUGGAGAGGCAGACGGAAUUCCUAGUGUAGCGGUGAAAUGCUUAGAGAUCAUACAGAACACCGAUUGCGAAGGCAGCUUACCAAGCUACUUCUGACGUUGAGGCACGAAAGCGUGGGGAGCAAACAGG
rnacentral:rRNA from 1 species